UGGGGGAUAUUGCACAAUGGGCGAAAGCCUGAUGCAGCGACGCCGCGUGGGGGAUGAAGGCUUUCGGGUUGUAAACCUCUUUCGCUAUCGAACAAGGCCCGCUUAGGGUGGGUUGAGGGUAGGUGGAGAAGAAGCGCCGGCUAACUACGUGCCAGCAGCCGCGGGAAUACGUAGGGCGCGAGCGUUGUCCGGAAUUAUUGGGGGUAAAGGGCUUGUAGGCGGCUUGUUGCGCCUGCUGUGAAAACGCGGGGCUUAACUUCGCGCGUGCAGUGGGUACGGGCGGGCUUGAGUGUGGUAGGGGUGACUGGAAUUCCAGGUGUAGCGGUGGAAUGCGCAGAUAUCUGGAGGAACACCGAUGGCGAAGGCAGGUCACUGGGCCAUUACUGACGCUGAGGAGCGAAAGCAUGGGUAGCGAACAGG
rnacentral:rRNA from 1 species